rnacentral:tRNA from 1 species
AAAAUGAAGGUUUCUCCCUCCGCUCCUAC